ensembl:lncRNA
AAGCAAAGCUCCACGAGCUUUUCCGCUCCGGCUCUCCUCCUCCCGUUCUGCACAGGGCCCUCUCUCCCAGGAGGAGUCAGCAGUGGAUUUGCUGUUAGCAAUUGCUUUCGCUCCAGCUUUGCCGAUAUCCUUCAAAGAGAAUCGCUGCUCGGGAGGAAGAGCUGUGAGUUUAAUCAGGCUGUUUAUCCCUUCAAAGUGAGCGUUUCGCUUGGAGUAAAUAGGAGAGCACAGUGGGCUCAGCCAUGCAGGGCUCAUCCCAGGGACCUUCUGCUAACGGUGCAGAGGGAGCGGUGGGGGAGAGAGGUACAGACAGGGGUUUGGGUUAAGGUUUGGGUUGGUUUGGGUUUGGGUUGGUUUGGGUUGGUUUGGGUUUGAGUUGGUUUGGGUUUGGGUUGGUUUGGGUUUGAGUAUGGGUUUGAGUUUGGGUUUGGGUUGGUUUCAGUUUGGGUUUGGGUUUUGAGUUUGGGUUUGGGUUGGUUUGGGUUGGUUUGGGUUUGGGUUAAGGAUUGGGUUGGUUUGGGUUUGGGUUUGGGUUUGGGUUUGGGUAUGGAUUUGAGUUUGGGUUUGGGUUGGUUUGGGUUUGGGUUGGGUUUGGGUUUCAGUUUGGGUUUGGGUUGGUUUGGGUUUGAGUUCGUGUUUGGGUUUGAGUUGUGGUUUGAGUUUACUUUGAGUUUGGGUUAGGCUUUGGGUUUGGGUUUGAGUUUGGCUUUGGGUUUGGCUGUGGCUUAAGGUUUGUGUUUGUGUUUGGCUUAGGGUUUGGCUUAGAAUUUGGG